AUGCAUGAGGCUGCCUCCCCACUGGGACCCAGGAGCCUGAGAGCAGGGCCUUGCCACUGUCUCCUACAGGGCCCAGCACCCCUGUGUAUGGCCCCAGUUGCCUUGUUGAAUCACAGUCCUUGGCAUCAGGGCCAGAUUCAUACGUGGGGUGAUAUCAGUCACUCCAGAAGCCCCAACCCUGGGCUGUGAGGGUGGCCGACGGUGACUUCCUCCUGCCAUUCAGGACAGAGGCCAGAGGCCUUCUUUCCCUGCUGGGCUCAUGCUGCCAACAUGCUCCUCCCAGGCUCUCAACCUGUUUAGAAGGCAAGCUUGGUACAGGAGUCAGAUUUCCUCGGAAAGAUGGGGGGACAGUUAAUUGAAAAAGGAGUACGUGUUCUUCUGGUGUCUUCUCACAUUACCAGGAGGUCGCCAGCCCUUGGCAUGGCCUUGUCUGAGGGAUUUUGGCAAGGCAGGCUUGCUGUGUCUUUAAUAAAAGCCCAAGCUCCCAGAGAGACCGUGUGGAUGUCCUGCAGGGGGUGCCUUUGAGAGGAGCAUGGAAGAGAGAUUUUUUUUUUUCUCCCAGGCUGGAGGGAGAUCACAGGGAAGCCUGUGAACAAAAGGCCAGCCCAGGUGCACCUUGGCCCCCUGGACCUUAGACCCCAGGGCUUCCAGCCUUGCCAGACAUUCCCACAGUGGCUCAGAGCCACUGACCCGACGGGUCCAUUUCAGAUUCCUUCAGUCUGUGGUUGUCCAAACGGUAAAUAGGAAGACCAGUAACUGAUGACAGCAGGAAGUUCCUGAAGUUUUCACGCUGUGUAAGACCCCCACAGCCUGGGCACAGUCCUGGUGUGUGGGGAUUUGGGGCAAAUUAAAGUUGAUUUGGAAGAAUUAAGGCUAAGAGUCAGUGGGUCUCAGAGGCUUCUGCCCUUGCAGCCUACCUGGGCUGAGUGUGCACAUGGCUGGGAUCUCAGCGACACGUGAGGAUGGCUUUUGUUCCCAGGGUGGCUGUGCCAAUGAGGAUGGCGAGGUCACACCAGAGACUGGGUGCCAAAAAGUGCCAAAUUGCUCACAAGGGGAAAGGAAUUACCACAAACAGUUUAGGCUAAUUAAUUCAUCUCGUGAGGCUGGAAGGGGUGCUUGGAUUCAUGGCCACCUUCUACCAGGACAAGACGAAAAAGUGGCCAAAGAAGCCUGGUGGCUGGGAAGCCCUGGUGUCUGCCUCACACCUGCUUCAAUGUGGUCCAUACUGGGGAGGACUUUGCAUGUCGCUGUGUAACCUGGAAGGAAGGGAAGAAGGAAAGAAGAUCGACCUGUUCUUUCUGAUGGAGCACGCCCCACCCUAAGCCUGGGGCAGGCAUGUGUGGGCCUGCCUGGCUCAGUGAUGGGGAGGCCACCAGAAAUCUGUCUUGGGGACACAAGAGCUUUCUGGGAAAACAUUCAAAUUUGAGGACACAAAGUGUAUCUUCACAAAGAGGACCCAGACCCAAGUCUGAAUCAGUAAGAAUCCCUUACUGACAAAUCUCGAAGAUGAGGAAUGUUGGAAGGCCCACAGAAUGGCCACCACUCUGGUUCAUUCCCCCGCCCGGCGCCCUCAUGCCUUCAACAGUAGAGUUAGUUCCAUAGUUGAGUUAAAAUAGAAUGAGUGACUUCACCAAAGCUCUGUGAGUUAUUGCAGCUUGCACUUUGAAACCAUCUGGGAAGUGUAGCAUUUUCCUGUAACAACGUGGCUUGGAAGACCCCAGACAACAUAGUGCCGCUAUGGCACCUCAUGGGGAGCCUGGUUCAUCAUCAUGGUGGUGACCUGGGGCAGUGGCAGUGGCACCGGGCAAAGGCGGCAGAGGCUGGUGGGAUCUGGCAGCGGGCCCCAGGUGGGUCGUGGUGGCCCCAGCAGGUGACUUCAUCUAGAGGGGGACACCAGCUGGGCCUCGGCGGGCACAUACCUUUCCAGGAAUUAGAAAUAGGCACCCAGUCUGGGCCCCCCUCCGCUGGUCAGAAGCAGAACUUGACAAGCAGGGCUCAG
rnacentral:lncRNA from 1 species